ACGGAAGGCAGCAGUGGGGAAUAUUGCACAAUGGGGGAAACCCUGAUGCAGCGACGCCGCGUGAGUGGAGAAGUAUUUCGGUAUGUAAAGCUCUAUCAGCAGGAAAGAAAAUGACGGUACCUGACUAAGAAGCCCCGGCUAACUACGUGCCAGCAGCCGCGGUAAUACGUAGGGGGCAAGCGUUAUCCGGAUUUACUGGGUGUAAAGGGAGCGUAGACGGCUUUGCAAGUCUGAAGUGAAAGCCCGGGGCUCAACCCCGGAACUGCUUUGGAAACUGUAGAGCUAGAGUGCAGGAGAGGUAAGUGGAAUUCCUAGUGUAGCGGUGAAAUGCGUAGAUAUUAGGAGGAACACCAGUGGCGAAGGCGGCUUACUGGACUGUAACUGACGUUGAGGCUCGAAGGCGUGGGGAGCAAACAGGAUUAGAUACCCUGGUA
rnacentral:rRNA from 1 species